CGUAGGGACCAAGCGUUGUUCGGAUUUACUGGGCGUAAAGGGCGCGUAGGCGGCGUGACAAGUCACUUGUGAAAUCUCUGAGCUUAACUCAGAACGGCCAAGUGAAACUGUUGUGCUAGAGUGCAGAAGGGGCAAUCGGAAUUCUUGGUGUAGCGGUGAAAUGCGUAGAUAUCAAGAGGAACACCUGAGGUGAAGACGGGUUGCUGGGCUGACACUGACGCUGAGGCGCGAAAGCCAGGGGAGCAAACGGGAUUAGAUACCCCGGUAGUCCUGGCCCUAAACGAUGAAUACUUGGUGUCUGGAGUUAUUAGUGCUCCGGGUGCCGUCGCUAACGUUUUUAGUAUUCCGCCUGGGGAGUACGCUCGCAAGAGUG
rnacentral:rRNA from 1 species